rnacentral:misc_RNA from 1 species
AAGUCGUAACAAGGUUUCCGUAGGUGAACCUGCGGAAGGAUCAUCAAUGAAUCCUAGCUCCAUGGGCUCAAUUUGCCUUGCUAGGUGCUGGCCUGAUGAAAAUCAGUGUCCGGUCAAAAAAUUUCAGGCCCAGUGUGGGUGGCUCGGCCUGGUAACUUUACCCAAUCAAAACAACUUUCGGCAACGGAUCUCUCGGCUCUCC